rnacentral:lncRNA from 7 species
GUAGCUCUGUGGCUGAGGCCACCCUGUAGCGAGGGCUUGGGCCUCUCCCUGCGUGGCUGCUUGUCUUGCUGGCAGCGUAACAGCCCUGUACUCAGCAUGUGUUACUAAGCUGUGGAGCCCCUCUUGCCCCUGGAGCAGCCCACCGUGUCUGUAAUCGGGUCUGGGGUGGCUGCAGUGCUGCAGCCGGCUGCUUUAGCCAUCCAGUUGGUGGGAAUGACCCCUCCCUGGCCUGUUAGAGGGUGCAGGUUGAGGUGCUGCUUUGUGGUUGGGGUGACCUCACUGCUGUGUGGGUCGAAGUGGCUCCCUGGGCUCCCAAAGAUGUGGUAUUGUGCUGCAGCUGGGCGGGCUGGUCUGUACCUCAGGCACUGGUGGGAGCCUCGUUCUCUGUGGGGCUUCCUGCAAAUGCUCCUGCCUGGCUGCUCCUUCUACCUCGUCCCGCCAUUGGUUGGGCUCUGCAGCCCUGCAUAAAGCAACAAGCCAAGUCAGGGAGGCCAGAGAAAGCAGAAUUAAGGCUGUAUGUUGAGCACUGUGUCAGAUCUCUGCAAAUGUCCUCAGGAUUGCUACUAUUACUUUUGUCAUUAUUAACAUCAAUUAAACAAAAACAAAAACAACCAUUGAGUUUGGCCAGCUUGCUGUUACUGUCCUGAAGACUCUUGGCUUGUCCUUAAGAUCUCUCCUUAGCAGUGGUGGAGUCAGUAGAAGAACAGACUGAGCAAAGUUCACUCCUCAUAAAUACAUUUUGGCACAAGGCAUUUUGAUUUCAGCCAUGAGACCACAUUUAUUUGCUAUUUUCAAGCCAGCGUGAAGGUGCUCUCCUGCUGACCCAUGACCUUCUCCAGGCUCUAGGCAAACCUAUGCACAAUAGUGUUGAAGCCCGUGUGCAACAGCUCACAGGUCUCCAUAGAUCUGAAGCAUCAGAUGAAGAAGGACCUGCUGAUGAUGCAGAAUUGAACAGCUGCCACAUAACACAGUGAACAGAACAGUAACCGCUCACCGCUGCAUUUGAGUACAUCCACUGAGCAAAAUCCACUGUAUUGAAUUCUUGAGACACCUGGUUUGUCAGCCAUAGUACUCAAUAUCUUCAGGUAGAACUUGUGAAGGUUUCAUGGAAACCACAAAUCAUUUCACAGUGACAACAAAAUUCAACUUGAACUCGUUAUUCCCACUCAGAAUGCAUUUCUGCAUACAGUUCCUGAAGGACCCUCCUUUUCCUCUCCAGAUAUUAAUAACUCAAUGAAAAUACAGUAAAACUGAACCAAGUAGUCAACACUGGUAAAAAAAAUAAAAGUCUCUAUCAAAUACACACCUUUGUUACAAACGUUUUCAUAUCUAAAGAUAUAAAAAGAAAAGAAAAACCAAAUUUUGUUGCCUGAAAUUUGGUACAGAUAUGGGUCAAUAGAGAAAUACCAUUCAAUCCUGAAGAUGUUGAAUGGGUUUCCUACUGAAGUCAGUUGCAAUUUUUUGUGCAGGAGAAACAGAACUGUACAUGCCAGCAAAAGACUUACUUUAGUUGAUGAUGAAUAUUGUUGUAGCAUAUUCCUCUCUGUGUUGUGGAAAUAAAACUAUUUUCCCACUCU